GGAGAUGUACCCAAGUGGUGAAGGGGCUCCCCUGCUAAGGGAGUAGGUCGGGAGACUGGCGCGUGGGUUCAAAUCCCACCAUCUCCGCCA
rnacentral:tRNA from 1 species